rnacentral:rRNA from 1 species
AACGCUGGCGGCAUGCUUANNCNUGCAAGUCGAACGGUAACAGGAGAGAGCUUGCUCUCUUGCUGACGAGUGGCGGACGGGUGAGUAAUACAUGGGAAUCUGCCCUGAGGUGGGGGAUAACCCGGGGAAACUCGGGCUAAUACCGCAUGAUCUCUUCGGAGCAAAGUGGGGGACCUUCGGGCCUCACGCCUUGGGAUGGGCCCAUGUCUGAUUAGCUAGUUGGUGGGGUAAAGGCCUACCAAGGCAACGAUCAGUAGCCGGCCUGAGAGGGUGUACGGCCACACUGGGACUGAGACACGGCCCAGACUCCUACGGGAGGCAGCAGUGGGGAAUAUUGGACAAUGGGGGCAACCCUGAUCCAGCAAUGCCGCGUGUGUGAAGAAGGCCUGCGGGUUGUAAAGCACUUUUAUCGGGGAAGAAUAGGUUGUCGUUAAUAGCGCCAACACUUGACAUUACCCGUUGAAUAAGCACCGGCUAACUCCGUGCCAGCAGCCGCGGUAAUACGGAGGGUGCGAGCGUUAAUCGGAAUUACUGGGCGUAAAGGGUGCGUAGGCGGAAGCUUAAGUCUGAUGUGAAAGCCCCGGGCUUAACCUGGGAAUGGCAUUGGAAACUGGGUUUCUAGAGUGUGGUAGAGGAUAGUGGAAUUUCCAGUGUAGCGNUGAAAUGCGUAGAUAUUGGAAAGAGC